rnacentral:rRNA from 1 species
AAUUUUUAUAUUAUUAAUUAAUUAAUUAAUAAUUUUAAUUUAAUAAAAAUAUUUUUAUUAWAUUUAUUUUUAGUAUAAUUURAAGAAAAWAWUUUUUKAAUUAUAGUAUAYUUUGUAUAUUGAUAGAAAUUUGAAAAAUUUUGAAAAAWWUUUUUUUAWUAAAGUAUAUUUUAUUUAUAGUACCUUGUGUAUCAGGGUUAAUURAAAAAAUUAUAUUUAAAUAAUAUUUUUCUCGAAUUUAAAAGAUCUAUUUAAUAAAAAUWAUUUUUAAUGUUUAAUAAUUAUUUUAAAUUUUURAAUAGAAAUGAAAUGUUUUUCGUUUUUAAAGUUAUCUAGUUUUUUAAUAAAUAAAUUUAAUUUAGAUAUUUUAUUUYAUAAUUAYUUUAAUUAAUUAAAGUAAUUAAAUAAAAUAUUAAAGUUUUAAGGGAUUAGCUUUAAUUCUUAAWUUUAUAAUUAAUUGAAUAAUUUAUAAAAUAUUUUUAGRCYUAGAAUUAGUUUUAAUUUAAAAAUUGUAAUAAAUUUAAUAUUAUAUAUAUAUAUAUAUAUAUAUAUAUAUAUUUUAAAAUAAUUUAAUUUUAUAUUAAAAUAAAUUAAUUAAUAAAAUUUUAAUUUAAAUGAUGAUUAAAUUAGUAAAUAUUUAAAAUUAAAUUAUUUUWAAAAUGAAAGUUAAUUAUAAGGAAUUCGGCAAAAAUUUAGCUCGCCUGUUUAACAAAAACAUGUCUUUUUGAAUUUAUAAAAAGUCUGAUCUGCUCAAUGAAAAUUUUUAAAUAGCCGCAGUAUCYUAACUGUGCAAAGGUAGCAUAAUAAUUUGUCCUWUAAUUUAGGACUAGAAUGAAWGAUUUGACGAGGUUAAAACUGUCUUAUAAUUAUUAAUUAUUGAAUUUAAUUUUUAAGUUAAAAAGCUUAAAUUUUAUUAAAGGACGAGAAGACCCUAUAGAGUUUAAUAAAUUAUAAAAUAUUUAUUUAUAUAAAUAUUUUUAUAUAAAUAUUUUAAUUUAUUUUAUUGGGGUGAUAAUUAAAUUUAAUWAACUUUAUAUAAUUAUUUWAACAUUUAUUAAUGAUUUUAUGAUCCUAAAAUUUAGAUUAUYAGAUUAAAUUACCUUAGGGAUAACAGCGUUAUUUUUUUUAAAGUUCAUAUUAACAUUAAAAAUUGCGACCUCGAUGUUGGAUUAAAAUUUAUGUUAGGUGUAGAAGCUUAAUAAUUAAGUCUGUUCGACUUUUAAAAUUUUACAUGAUCUGAGUUCAGACCGGUUUAAGCCAGGUUGGUUUCUAUCCUUAAUUUUAUAAAAAGUUUUUAGUACGAAAGGACCAUAAUUUURAAUUAUUAUAUUUUUAUAAAAAUGAAUUUUAUUAAUUAUUUAA